GGUAGUGUGGCCGAGUGGUCUAAGGCGCUGGAUUUAGGCUCCAGUUUCUAUGGAGGCAUGGGUUCAAAUCCCACCACUGCCA